rnacentral:rRNA from 1 species
GAUGAACGCUGGCGGCGUGCCUAAUACAUGCAAGUCGAGCGAACGGACGAGAAGCUUGCUUCUCUGAUGUUAGCGGCGGACGGGUGAGUAACACGUGGAUAACCUACCUAUAAGACUGGGAUAACUUCGGGAAACCGGAGCUAAUACCGGAUAAUAUUUUGAACCGCAUGGUUCAAAAGUGAAAGACGGUCUUGCUGUCACUUAUAGAUGGAUCCGCGCUGCAUUAGCUAGUUGGUAAGGUAACGGCUUACCAAGGCAACGAUGCAUAGCCGACCUGAGAGGGUGAUCGGCCACACUGGAACUGAGACACGGUCCAGACUCCUACGGGAGGCAGCAGUAGGGAAUCUUCCGCAACGGGCGAAAGCCUGACGGAGCAACGCCGCGUGAGUGAUGAAGGUCUUCGGAUCGUAAAACUCUGUUAUUAGGGAAGAACAUAUGUGUAAGUAACUGUGCACAUCUUGACGGUACCUAAUCAGAAAGCCACGGCUAACUACGUGCCAGCAGCCGCGGUAAUACGUAGGAGGCAAGCGUUAUCCGGAAUUAUUGGGCGUAAAGCGCGCGUAGGCGGUUUUUUAGUCUGAUGUGAAAGCCCACGGCUCAACCCGUGGAGGGUCAUUGGAAACUGGAAAACUUGAGUGCAGAAGAGGAAAGUGGAAUUCCAUGUGUAGCGGUGAAAUGCGCAGAGAUAUGGAGGAACACCAGUGGCGAAGGCGACUUUCUGGUCUGUAACUGACGCUGAUGUGCGAAAGCGUGGGGAUCAAACAGGAUUAGAUACCCUGGUAGUCCACGCCGUAAACGAUGAGUGCUAAGUGUUAGGGGGUUUCCGCCCCUUAGUGCUGCAGCUAACGCAUUAAGCACUCCGCCUGGGGAGUACGACCGCAAGGUUGAAACUCAAAGGAAUUGACGGGGACCCGCACAAGCGGUGGAGCAUGUGGUUUAAUUCGAAGCAACGCGAAGAACCUUACCAAAUCUUGACAUCCUUUGACAACUCUAGAGAUAGAGCCUUCCCCUUCGGGGGACAAAGUGACAGGUGGUGCAUGGUUGUCGUCAGCUCGUGUCGUGAGAUGUUGGGUUAAGUCCCGCAACGAGCGCAACCCUUAAGCUUAGUUGCCAUCAUUAAGUUGGGCACUCUAAGUUGACUGCCGGUGACAAACCGGAGGAAGGUGGGGAUGACGUCAAAUCAUCAUGCCCCUUAUGAUUUGGGCUACACACGUGCUACAAUGGACAAUACAAAGGGCAGCGAAACCGCGAGGUCAAGCAAAUCCCAUAAAGUUGUUCUCAGUUCGGAUUGUAGUCUGCAACUCGACUACAUGAAGCUGGAAUCGCUAGUAAUCGUAGAUCAGCAUGCUACGGUGAAUACGUUCCCGGGUCU